rnacentral:rRNA from 1 species
GUCUACGGCCAUGCCGCCCUGAACAUCUGAUCUCGGAAACUAAGCAGGGUCAGGCCUGGUUAGUACUUGGAUGGGAGACCACCUAGGAGGAUGAGGUGUUGUAGGCA